AUUUAGGUUUGGCAAGUGUACUUCUACUUUUGCGAAAGUAUCAAUAAUAGAAAGAUGUAACUCCAACAUUCUUCAAUUCAAACAUUUUAAAACCAUCAAGAGAGAAAAAACAAACAAUGGUCACUCAGCAGUUAAAAAUCAAACUUUUUCCAGUUUUGAAUGACUUUGUGAAAGUGCGCGGAACUAACUCAUCAUUGAAGAUACAUCACUCUUCAUUUCGUUCAAAAGAAGUGCCAAUCAGUGCCAUUCCUACCGUCCUCCUCCUUUGAACGCUCUGCCAUCCCUCCCUCCCUCUUACCUUUAACGCUCUGCCACCCCUACCUCCCUCCUCCCUGGGACGCUCUGCCAUCCCUACCUCCCUCGAUCCUCCCUGGGAAGCUCUGCCAGUCCUACCUCCCUUCUCCAUGGGACGCUCUGCCAUCCCUACCUCCCUCCUCCCUGGACGCUCUGCCAUCCCUACCUCCCUCUUCCCUGGACGCUCUACCAUCCCUACCUCCCUCUUCCCUGGACGCUCUGCCAUCCCUACCUCUCUCCUCUUUUCUCUGUAGUAUGCCUGAUCUCUAUAAUCAAACAUUUUAGGUGAUUUGGUAAAAUGUGGACAAAACCUUGAUUUAUUUAAUUUUUUAAAUAGCAGAAUGUUCACAAAGCAAGGAUUUUUCUUUGUUCAUUACUUAGAAUUCUUCCUUUUACAAAAACAGCUUCUCUUUAUUCAUAAUCUCAUAUUUUGAAUAGCAUUUUUAGCGUCGCUACUACUCUAUUGAAUGCGAAACAAAUUAGCGAAAAAAUGAAAGCCAAAAUUCCCUUUUUCUGAAAAAUUAUGAUUGAGGAUUCCUUUACACUGAUAUAUGUCUUACCUCUUGAUAUGUUACAUGUAUGUAACUAAAUGGUUUUUAGAUAAAUGUUGGGUGAUGGAUUUUUAGAUUGAUUUUUGCCCUUUGACUGAAAU